UACGACCAUAUCAUGUUGAAACAUUGGUUCCCGUACGAUCAUUGAAGUUAAGCAAACUCGAGCCUGGUCAGUAACUAGAUGGGUGAUCGCUUAGAAAUACCAU